rnacentral:rRNA from 1 species
UUGCCAGCAGCCGCGGUAAUACGUAGGGUGCAAGCGUUGUCCGGAAUCAUUGGGCGUAAAGAGCUCGUAGGCGGUCUGUCGCGUCUGCUGUGAAAACCUGGGGCUUAACCCCGGGCCUGCAGUGGGUACGGGCAGACUAGAGUGCGGUAGGGGAGACUGGAAUUCCUGGUGUAGCGGUGAAAUGCGCAGAUAUCAGGAGGAACACCGGUGGCGAAGGCGGGUCUCUGGGCCGUAACUGACGCUGAGGAGCGAAAGCAUGGGUAGCGAACAGGAUUAGAUACCCUGGUAGUCCAUGCCGUAAACGUUGGGCGCUAGGUGUGGGGCUCAUUCCACGAGUUCCGUGCCGCAGCAAACGCAUUAAGCGCCCCGCCUGGGGAGUACGGCCGCAAGGCUAAAACUCAAAGGAAUUGACGGGGCCCCGCACAAGCGGCGGAGCAUGCGGAUUAAUUCGAUGCAACGCGAAGAACCUUACCAAGGCUUGACAUGCAGGGAAAUCUCCCAGAGAUGGGAGGUCCGCAAGGGUCCUGCACAGGUGGUGCAUGGUUGUCGUCAGCUCGUGUCGUGAGAUGUUGGGUUAAGUCCCGCAACGAGCGCAACCCUCGUUCUAUGUUGCCAGCGGGUAAUGCCGGGGACUCAUAGGAGACUGCCGGGGUCAACUCGGAGGAAGGUGGGGAUGACGUCAAAUCAUCAUGCCCCUUAUGUCUUGGGCUUCACGCAUGCUACAAUGGCCAGUACAAAGGGCUGCGAGACCGUAAGGUGGAGCGAAUCCCAAAAAGCUGGUCUC